UACAGAGGUGGCAAGCGUUGUUCGGAAUUACUGGGCGUAAAGAGCGCGCAGGCGGUUGUUUAAGUCGAAUGUGAAAGCCCCCGGCUCAACUGGGGAGGGUCAUUCGAUACUGAUCGACUUGAAGGCAGGAGAGGGAAGUGGAAUUCCGGGUGUAGUGGUGAAAUGCGUAGAUAUCCGGAGGAACACCAGUGGCGAAGGCGACUUCCUGGCCUGUUCUUGACGCUGAGGCGCGAAAGCUGGGGGAGCAAACGGG
rnacentral:rRNA from 1 species